rnacentral:tRNA from 1 species
GGGAAGGUGGCUCAGUGGUAGAGUGCUUGCCUUGCAUGCAUGAGGCCCUGGGUUUGAUUCCAAGUGGUGCUG